rnacentral:rRNA from 1 species
AAACCGUUUAGGGGUAAACCUGAGAAACCCGAAAGGUCGAAGGAAGAAAUUCAGUCGUGUCCGGCAAGGUUAUUGUGCGGUUUGGUGUCGCUGAACGGAUUCGUCCGCUCGUCGCCCGGCCACAUGAUAUGUGUACCUUGUUGAACGCGUGCACUUUUCUUCUGGUAGGACGUCGCGAUCCGUUGAGUGUUGAUCUACGGCUCGGGUGGUAGUCUAUCAGUAAGAGCCCUCACGGCUCUUACUGAUAGACCCUCGGUGCCUGGUCAACUGGCUCGACGGUAUACUGAAUGGUUGUGGGCCGCUCUCUGGAGCGUUCGGCUUGUGGCAAGCACGUCAAAUGUUUCGGUGCAUCGGACCUAGUGCCGUGCCUGAUCCUUGACGACUGUUGGCUGCGCUGUCUCGAACAGACCUAUCUAUCUAGAAAACCGAUCAGCGACGAUAUAGCUUUGGGUACUUUCAGGACCCGUCUUGAAACACGGACCAAGGAGUCUAGCAUGUACGCGAGUCAUUGGGAAUCACAAAACCUAAAGGCGCAAUGAAAGUGAACGUUUUCCUUCACGGUUAACGAUGGGAAGAUGGGCGGUUCAAACUUUACAGUUUACGUCCUGCACUCCCGGGGCGUCUCGUUCUCAUUGCGAGAAGAGGCGCACCAUGAGCGUACACGCUGGGACCCGAAAGAUGGUGAACUAUGCCUGGU